rnacentral:pre_miRNA from 9 species
UGUCGAUAGCGUAAAAGUUAACUAAAAUUUGUAUGGAGUCGGAAAAUUUGUCUACGUUUGCCGUUAGGGGCGCUGUUCUAACUCCAUACAUAUCUGAGUUAACUUUUACGCUAUCUU